rnacentral:rRNA from 1 species
CUCCCAGUAACGGCGAGUGAACGGAGAUUAGCCCGUCACCGAAGUCCGGUGCUUUUGCAUACAGGACAAUGUGGUGUUUAGGCGUGCACCUGGGGCUCGCGUACCUACCCGAAGUCCAACUCCGAUUGUGGCUUGGAUUUUGCCCAGAGCGGGUGAAAGGCCCGUACGGGUAGGCUGUUGAUCGCGAACGCGGCCCUCAGAUGUGUAUGCCUUCGAGUCGGAUUGCUUGAGAAUGCAGUCCAAAGUGGGUGGUAAACUCCAUCCAAGGCUAAAUACUGGCACGAGUCCGAUAGUAGACAAGUACCGUGAGGGAAAGUUGAAAAGUACUCUGAAGAGAGAGUAAAUAGUACGUGAAACCGAUUGCAGGGAAGCUGGUGGAGUCAAGCUUCAUGCUUGAAGAAUUCUUGCUCUGAGUUGCAUUGUGUGAUGGGCAUAGUAUCGGUUAGCUUGGAAAGAGUUGGGCACACUCGUGUGCAUCAAGUCCGCCCGGGCGUGGUUGAUUGAGCCGGUGCUUUUGUCCUGCUCGGAGCGAUCUAUUCUUCGUGGCAUAGAUCACGGUCGAUAGCGUCUUGCUAACGUGCUGUCCGACUGUCUAACUGUGCCUUGGUGGGCUUUUAGCUUGCCUGGUGCAGGAUGGCAGAUGGCAUCCGCUGGCCUCGUGUCUGUGGUUGCUUAAGUCGAUCUCGAUCGGCUGAUGGUCGGAGAGUAUCGUCGCUAUCGUGGAUGUGCGGCGUGCAGUCCUAGGGCUGUGUGUUGCUCAGAACCG